rnacentral:rRNA from 1 species
UGGGGAAUAUUGGACAAUGGGCGAAAGCCUGAUCCAGCGACGCCGCGCGGGUGAAGAAGGCCUGCGGGUUGUAAAGCCCUUUCGGUGGGGAAGAAAAGCCUCGACCUAACACGUCGGGGUAUUGACGUAACCCAUUAAAGAAGCACCGGCUAAYUCUGUSCCAGCAGCCGCGGUAAUACAGAGGGGGCGASCGUUAUUCGGAAUUUYUGGGGGUAAAGCGGGGGUAGGCGGUUUUGUAAGUCGGGUGUGAAAUCCCCAAGCUUAACUUGGGAACUGCAUUCGAGACUGCAUAGCUAGAGUAUGGGAGAGAGAAGUGGAAUUUCCGGUGUAGCGGUGAAAUGCGUAGAUAUCGGAAGGAACAUCAGUGGCGAAAGCGACUUCUUGGACCAAUACUGCCGCUCAAGUGCGAAAGCGUGGGGAGCAACCAGGAUUAGAUACCCUGGUAGUCC